rnacentral:rRNA from 1 species
UACGUAGGGUCCGAGCGUUGUCCGGAAUUAUUGGGCGUAAAGGGCUCGUAGGCGGUCUGUCGCGUCGGGGAGUGAAAACUCAGGGCUCAACCCUGAGCGUGCUUCCGAUACGGGCAGACUAGAGGUAUGCAGGGGAGAACGGAAUUCCGGGUGUAGCGGUGGAAUGCGUAGAGAUCCGGAAGAACACCGGUGGCGAAGGCGGCCUGCUGGGACAUGGCUGACGCUGAGGCGCGACAGCGUGGGGAGCAAACAGG